UGAGCAAUGCCUAGGAAUCUGCCUGGUAGUGGGGGACAACGUUUCGAAAGGAACGCUAAUACCGCAUACGUCCUACGGGAGAAAGCAGGGGACCUUCGGGCCUUGCGCUAUCAGAUGAGCCUAGGUCGGAUUAGCUAGUUGGUGAGGUAAUGGCUCACCAAGGCGACGAUCCGUAACUGGUCUGAGAGGAUGAUCAGUCACACUGGAACUGAGGCACGGUCCAGACUCCUACGGGAGGCAGCAGAG
rnacentral:rRNA from 1 species